UCGUGAGACAGUUCGGUCCCUAUCUGUCGCGGGCGGAGGAGGUUUGACGGGAGCUGCCCCUAGUACGAGAGGACCGGGGUGGACGGACCUCUGGUGUGCGAGCUGUUCCGCCAGGAGCAACGCUCGGUAGCUAUGUCCGGCAGGGAUAAGCGCUGAAGGCAUCUAAGCGCGAAACCCGCCUGAAGAUGAGACCUCCCGGGGCGUAAGCCCCCUGAAGGGCCCUGGAAGAUGACCAGGUUGAUAGGCCGGGGGUGUAAGCACCGUAAGGUGUUCAGCCGACCGGUACUAAUCGCCCGUGCGGCUUGACCACU
rnacentral:rRNA from 1 species